UGUUCUCCCAGCACCUGCGGCUGUUGAGACCAGAGAAGCUGGUGGUCGACCACAGCCUGGGGUAUUAGUUCACCCCUAGCUUCUCCCCAGCGAGACCCCAGGGCCCUUGGGCACAGGGGAUUAAGCCUCUAUCUGCUUACGUGCAAGCGGAAGAAAUAGGCCCAGAGAGCAACAGUGGCGGGUCUGCAGUCACACAGCCAACUUGCGCUUGUGGCAGUGGCAAGGUUGAAGUUCUGAGGGUACCCCUCACUCAAGCUCCAGGCGUCAGGAAAAGAACAUUCCACGAAGUCCAUCUGGAAGACGGUCCUUUCCCUGCUGCCCCCAGAUGAGAGAAAAAUCCAGCCAGAAUUGGCAUCUGUCAAGAUAGGCUUUUAGGAGCCACGGCUCCCUAGAGUGGUCUCCACACAUUCUGAUUAUAUGCAAUCUCAUUUUGCCAUCAAGAGACUUAACCCACUCCCCUAUCCAUGUAGACUUUGUAAUAAUAAAUUAUACAUAUAUAUGACUGAA
rnacentral:lncRNA from 1 species